rnacentral:rRNA from 1 species
GACGAACGCUGGCGGCGUGCCUAAUACAUGCAAGUAGAACGCUGAAGGAGGAGCUUGCUUCUCUGGAUGAGUUGCGAACGGGUGAGUAACGCGUAGGUAACCUGCCUGGUAGCGGGGGAUAACUAUUGGAAACGAUAGCUAAUACCGCAUAACAGUAGAUAUCGCAUGAUAUCUACUUGAAAGGUGCAAUUGCAUCACUACCAGAUGGACCUGCGUUGUAUUAGCUAGUUGGUGAGGUAACGGCUCACCAAGGCGACGAUACAUAGCCGACCUGAGCGGGGGAUCGGCCACACUGGGACUGGGACACGGCCCAGACUCCUACGGGAGGCAGCAGUAGGGAAUCUUCGGCAAUGGACGGAAGUCUGACCGAGCAACGCCGCGUGAGUGAAGAAGGUUUUCGGAUCGUAAAGCUCUGUUGUAAGAGAAGAACGAGUGUGAGAGUGGAAAGUUCACACUGUGACGGUAUCUUACCAGAAAGGGACGGCUAACUACGUG